GCUGGGCGUGGUGGUGCAUGCCUGUAAUCCCAGAAACUUAGGAGGCUGAGGCAGGGGGAUAGAGAAUUCAAAGCUAGCCUCAGCAAUUUAGCAAGGCCCUAAUCAACUUAGUGAGACCCUGACUCUA
rnacentral:sRNA from 1 species